GGAGAGGUGGCUGAGUGGUCUAAAGCGCACGCUUGGAAAGUGUGUGUACUGUUAUAGUACCCAGGGUUCGAAUCCCUGUCUCUCCGCCA
rnacentral:tRNA from 1 species